UACGUAGGGGGCAAGCGUUGUCCGGAAUCAUUGGGCGUAAAGAGCGUGUAGGCGGCUUGGUAAGUCCGCUGUGAAAGUCCAGGGCUCAACCCUGGAAUGCCGGUGGAAACUGUCAAGCUUGAGUCCGGAAGAGGCGGGUGGAAUUCCUGGUGUAGCGGUGAAAUGCGCAGAUAUCAGGAGGAACACCAAUGGCGAAGGCAGCUCGCUGGGACGGUACUGACGCUGAGACGCGAAAGCGUGGGGAGCAAACAGG
rnacentral:rRNA from 1 species